rnacentral:misc_RNA from 1 species
GAUGAAGAACGCAGCAAAAUGCGAUAAGUAAUGUGAAUUGCAGAAUUCAGUGAAUCAUCGAAUCUUUGAACGCACAUUGCGCCCGCCAGUAUUCUGGCGGGCAUGCCUGUUCGAGCGUCAUUUCAACCCUCAAGCACAGCUUGGUGUUGGGACUCGCGUUAAUUCGCGUUCCCCAAAUUGAUUGGCGGUCACGUCGAGCUUCCAUAGCGUAGUAGUAAAACCCUCGUUACUGGUAAUCGUCGCGGCCACGCCGUUAAACCCCAACUUCUGAAUGUUGACCUCGGAUCAGGUAGGAAUACCCGCUGACCUUAAGCAUAUCAAUAAGCGGAGGA